AAGGAUCAUUACAAAUCCAUCCACGUCUCAGCUCUUGAGACCACGUUGAACUGUUCCCUAGUGUGUGCGUGCCUUGCGCGCAUGCACUAGGCUUGUUAAACUAGUCCUACAUCUGUUGCUCAACUGUAUCUUUCUUGAUUGUAAUGAUCAAGGCAAACAAAGUACAACUUAUAACAAUGGAUCUCUAGGCUCUU
rnacentral:misc_RNA from 1 species